CGUAGGUGGCAAGCGUUGUCCGGAUUUAUUGGGUUUAAAGGGUGCGUAGGCGGCCCUGUAAGUCAGUGGUGAAAUAUCUCAGCUUAACUGAGAGGGUGCCAUUGAUACUGCGGGGCUUGAGUACAGAUGAGGUAGGCGGAAUUGACGGUGUAGCGGUGAAAUGCAUAGAUAUCGUCAAGAACACCGAUAGCGAAGGCAGCUUACCAAGCUGUAACUGACGCUGAGGCACGAAAGUGUGGGGAUCAAACAGGAUUAGAUACCCUGGUAGUCCACACUGUAAACGUUGAUGACUCGAUGCUGGCGAUACACAGCCAGCGUCCAAGAGCAAUCGUUAAGUCAUCCACCUGGGGAGUACGCCGGCAACGGUG
rnacentral:rRNA from 1 species